rnacentral:lncRNA from 1 species
CAGAGCGACUGGCCAUUUUGAAUGUAUCUUUUUAUCCCCUGAUUAUACAUUAUAUAAAAACAUAUAUAUACUCAGUUAUUUUACUCCUUUGCUAAUGUGGUGAAAAAUCUAAUUAACUGACUCAAGUUUCUAGAGGUGAAAGUCUGAAAGAUAAGCAAAAAUGAUAUGUUUAGAAAUAGUGAAUAGGCUUUUUUAUAUUGGCUAUGUCUUCCUCGAAAAGCAGUUUCCAUUAGUUUGUUGUGCCUUUUUUUUUUUCUUUGCAUUGAUAUUAAUGGAAGAUGGUUGAUGAACGUCAUAUUACUUUGAUGAUGACAAGACCUUUGAUGUAAAUAUUACUUGCUUUGUUUCUUGUAGAUUUUUAAAAAAUACAUAUAUUUAGACUGUGAGCUGGCAUUGUGUAAUCAGUAUAAAAUUAAGAGGGAUGCUAUUUCUGCUAUCAGCUCAGUGUGUAUUUGUUCAUGUGUUGCUUUCUUGUUCCUUACUAAACCAUAUCACUAAAUCCCUACUGAACAUAGCCAUAACCGUAGGAGGAUCAAGAUGUCUCUUGUAACUCUUGUCAUUAGUCUUCGAGGUUUUGUGCUGUUUUCUUCUCAUUUUCAGUCCACCCUAACAGUAUUUUGUCUGUUCUCUAGCACACUAGAAAGUAAGGAAGAUUGGAACUGUAUCAGAAAGUAAGUUUUUCAUGUUUCUUAGUUUCAUUUUGACUUAACUUUCAUCCUCUAGGAUAGCUGGAAGAUGUCCUCCAUUUCGUUGUCUUUGACAAGACAUACGUAUGGAACAGUUUUAGUCACUUUUGUGAUAGCUGUUACCUCUUCAUUCAUUACGGAAGUGUCGUUAGUGCCCCACUGCUGUUUUUUUGCAGUUUCACUUUUGAUUUAGCACUGAUGUUAAGCAUGUGCUGCAGAAGAAAUGCAUGUCUCCCUGGCAAUAACUUCAGUAAAUGGCAUACCUUUAGUUAAGGUUUCCAUUCAAAUGUUUGAAGCAAACCAGAACAAAAACACAUACUCACAGAGGGAACAGAUGCAGGGAUUGCAGCACAUUUUAAACAGGUUUGUUUAUCAGUUUUUCUAUAGGGCCUCCCAUGUGGUCAGAGAUGACAUAAUU